rnacentral:rRNA from 1 species
UGGGGAAUAUUGGGCAAUGGGCGCAAGCCUGACCCAGCAACGCCGCGUGAAGGAAGAAGGUUUUCGGAUUGUAAACUUCUGUCCUUAGGGAAGAAACAAAUGACGGUACCUAAGGAGGAAGCCCCGGCUAACUACGUGCCAGCAGCCGCGGUAAUACGUAGGGGGCAAGCGUUGUCCGGAAUUACUGGGCGUAAAGGGAGCGUAGGCGGCUUUAUAAGUCAGAUGUGAAAUACCCGGGCUUAACCUGGGGGGUGCAUCUGAAACUGUAGAGCUUGAGUGUGGGAGAGGAAAGUGGAAUUCCUAGUGUAGCGGUGAAAUGCGUAGAUAUUAGGAGGAACACCAGUGGCGAAGGCGACUUUCUGGACCAUAACUGACGCUGAGGCUCGAAAGCGUGGGGAGCAAACA